AGAGUUAACCAAGGAAACACAAUUAAAAUCAGCCAGAGAAGCUAGUUAUAUAGCACUCUCACCAACCACUUAUUAAAUAGUGUGAGUGAGUAACCGAAGGAAGCAACACAACCAAAUAAACCCGAGAAUAGAUUCUAGAUCUAAGAUUUUCCACUUGCUUCUCUGCAUAAUUCAUUCCUUCAUUUGUUUCCAUAAAAAGUAUUUGUAGGGUUGAUUUUAGCUAUUUUUCUGCUUUUGAAUUGGAAUACAAAUAUCUUUAUGUGCAAGUGUUGAAGAUUUCAGACUGUAGAAACUUAUAAGAGAAUGGCAUGUGAUUAUUUUGACAAGAUUCAAGAAAUCACAAUUAUACCAACUAUGAUUUUCUUGAUUAAACAUAUAGGCGUUCUACAAACUUUUCAACCACUAAGAGAUAUUCAAGUACCAAAGAGUAGAGCCAACAACAUUACAUGGAUCAGAGUGCAGUGUCAUCGUCAGCGUAAUGGUAUAGAUUGCGGUUAUUUCAUCUUGAGGUUUAUGAAAGAAACUCUUCUUUUGGAUCGAAUAGAGAUUCCAUCCACGUACUUUGACGAAUUCAAGUGUGCUCAUUACUCAAAAGAUCAAUUGGAUGAACUUAUGGAGGAAUGUUGUCAAUUCAUUAUGGAGUUGAGAAUUUUAUAAGGUUAUAGGUGCAGCUGUAGAAGAUAGAGCUAACAAGUUUAUUGUUAUUGUUUUUUAGAAACUCUCAAAGAUAGUAAUAUGUAGAUUUAACAUCAAUUUAGCAUUUUAGAAUUUUCUAGUUGUAUCAUCAAUUUUCAAGUUGUUGUUGUAUAUAUCAUCAAUUAUAUAUAUGUAGAUUUUUUGUAUAUGUAACUUUGGUGAAUAAUUAUUGGAUUGAAGCUACCAAAUCUGGUGCAAAAUGGGGUUAAAACUUGGUGCAAAAUCUGGUGAAAAUUUAUUGUAUAUAUUGGAUAGCGCUUUCUGUAAGUGAAAAUAAGUUAUAUUUAAAAAAUUUAGUGAACAUUUGGCAGUGCUUAAAGAGAAAAGCACUGUCUGAAGUGGGGAAAACGCUGCCUAAAGUGGGAAAGCGCUGCUAAAGGGGUACUUUCUAAAGCGCUGUCUAAAGUGGUUCAUAAGAAAGCUCUUUUAAAGUCAAAGCGCUACAUAAAGGGGACACAUAACAGCGCUUUUACAUAUAGUAUAGAAAAGAUUCUUAAGGAGUUUGUUUUAUUUGACCUUGAAUGCUAUAAUAGGAAUCAAAAUUCUCUAAU